AACGAACGCUGGCGGCAGGCUUAACACAUGCAAGUCGAACGCCCCGCAAGGGGAGUGGCAGACGGGUGAGUAACGCGUGGGAAUCUACCCUUAACUUCGGGAUAGCUCCGGGAAACUGGAAUUAAUACCGCAUGUGCCCUGUGGGGCAAAGAUUUAUCGGUUCAGGAUGAGCCCGCGUUCGAUUAGCUAGUUGGUGGGGUAAAGGCCUACCAAGGCGACGAUCGAUAGCUGGUCUAAGAGGAUGAUCAGCCACAUUGGGACUGAGACACGGCCCAAACUCCUACGGGAGGCAGCAGUGGGGAAUAUUGGACAAUGGGCGCAAGCCUGAUCCAGCCAUGCCGCGUGAGUGAUGAAGGCCUUAGGGUUGUAAAGCUCUUUCACCGGGGAAGAUAAUGACGGUACCCGGAGAAGAAGCCCCGGCUAACUUCGUG
rnacentral:rRNA from 1 species